UACGAAAGGUGCGAGCGUUAAUCGGAAUUACUGGGCGUAAAGCGUGCGUAGGCGGCUAUUUAAGUCGGAUGUGAAAGCCCCGGGCUCAACCUGGGAGGUGCAUCCGAUACUGAGUAGCUAGAGUGUAGUAGAGGGAGGUGGAAUUUCCGGUGUAGCGGUGAAAUGCGUAGAGAUCGGAAGGAACACCAGUGGCGAAGGCGGCCUCCUGGACUAACACUGACGCUGAGGUACGAAAGCGUGGGGAUCAAACAGG
rnacentral:rRNA from 1 species